rfam:Equus caballus chromosome X, whole genome shotgun sequence.
GGAAGUAUGAGCACAGUUUGGCUACAACUUGUCAUCUCACUAAUCUCCAGGGUUGAUUGAGCUGUUCCGGUUCUCCAGGCAGGAGGGCCUUAUCUCUCUUCACUCCAAACAUAUCCCUCCCCAAAUUGAACAUUUCAUUGCCAAGGACAACCUUCUCAGACAGAGAGUAGCUAUUCUUUGAUCAAGAAUAUAUGAGUAACUGCAAUCCACUGUGAGACACUCUUAAGUAGAGUCCAUCACUGAAUCUUUUUAGACCAUCAUGUUACCAUUUGGAUCAGCAGUGUUUAUUACUCUAAACAAGAAAUGGCAAAAGUAUUAGGACAUGGGAUCUGUCCAAACUCUGCCCUGGU